GAGCGGACCGACGGGAGCUUGCUCCCUUAGGUCAGCGGCGGACGGGUGAGUAACACGUGGGUAACCUGCCUGUAAGACUGGGAUAACUCCGGGAAACCGGGGCUAAUACCGGAUGCUUGAUUGAACCGCAUGGUUCAAUCAUAAAAGGUGGCUUUUAGCUACCACUUGCAGAUGGACCCGCGGCGCAUUAGCUAGUUGGUGAGGUAACGGCUCACCAAGGCGACGAUGCGUAGCCGACCUGAGAGGGUGAUCGGCCACACUGGGACUGAAACACGGCCCAGACUCCUACGGGAGGCAGCAGUAGGGAAUCUUCCGCAAUGGACGAAAGUCUGACGGAGCAACGCCGCGUGAGUGAUGAAGGUUUUCGGAUCGUAAAACUCUGUUGUUAGGGAAGAACAAGUACCGUUCGAAUAGGGCGGCACCUUGACGGUACCUAACCAGAAAGCCACGGCUAACUACGUGCCAGCAGCCGCGGUAAUACGUAGGUGGCAAGCGUUGUCCGGAAUUAUUGGGCGUAAAGCGCGCGCAGGCGGUUUCUUAAGUCUGAUGUGAAAGCCCCCGGCUCAACCGGGGAGGGUCAUUGGAAACUGGGGAACUUGAGUGCAGAAGAGGAGAGUGGAAUUCCACGUGUAGCGGUGAAAUGCGUAGAGAUGUGGAGGAACACCAGUGGCGAAGGCGACUCUCUGGUCUGUAACUGACGCUGAGGCGCGAAAGCGUGGGGAGCGAACAGGAUUAGAUACCCUGGUAGUCCACGCCGUAAACGAUGAGUGCUAAGUGUUAGAGGGUUUCCGCCCUUUAGUGCUGCAGCAAACGCAUUAAGCACUCCGCCUGGGGAGUACGGUCGCAAGACUGAAACUCAAAGGAAUUGACGGGGGCCCGCACAAGCGGUGGAGCAUGUGGUUUAAUUCGAAGCAACGCGAAGAACCUUACCAGGUCUUGACAUCCUCUGACAACCCUAGAGAUAGGGCUUCCCCUUCGGGGGCAGAGUGACAGGUGGUGCAUGGUUGUCGUCAGCUCGUGUCGUGAGAUGUUGGGUUAAGUCCCGCAACGAGCGCAACCCUUGAUCUUAGUUGCCAGCAUUCAGUUGGGCACUCUAAGGUGACUGCCGGUGACAAACCGGAGGAAGGUGGGGAUGACGUCAAAUCAUCAUGCCCCUUAUGACCUGGGCUACACACGUGCUACAAUGGGCAGAACAAAGGGCAGCGAAGCCGCGAGGCUAAGCCAAUCCCACAAAUCUGUUCUCAGUUCGGAUCGCAGUCUGCAACUCGACUGCGUGAAGCUGGAAUCGCUAGUAAUCGCGGAUCAGCAUGCCGCGGUGAAUACGUUCCCGGGCCUUGUACACACCGCCCGUCACACCACGAGAGUUUGUAACACCCGAAGUCGGUGAGGUAACC
rnacentral:rRNA from 1 species